GGGAUUGCCCUAGUAACGGCGAGUGAAGCGGCAACAGCUCAAAUUUGAAAUCUGGCGCAAGCCCGAGUUGUAAUUUGUAGAGGAUGCUUCUGGGUAGCGACCGAUCUAAGUUCCUUGGAACAGGACGUCAUAGAGGGUGAGAAUCCCGUACGUGACCGGCCCGCACCCUUUACGUAGCUCCUUCGACGAGUCGAGUUGUUUGGGAAUGCAGCUCUAAAUGGGAGGUAAAUUUCUUCUAAAGCUAAAUACCGGCCAGAGACCGAUAGCGCACAAGUAGAGUGAUCGAAAGAUGAAAAGUACUUUGGAAAGAGAGUUAAAAAGCACGUGAAAUUGUUGAAAGGGAAGCGCCUACAACCAGACUUCGCGGCAGUGUUCCGCCGGUCUUCUGACCGGUUUAUUCUCUGUCGCGAGGCCAUCAUCGUCUGGGCCCGCCGGAUAAGACCUUAGGAAUGUAGCUCACCUUCGGGGGAGUGUUAUAGCCUAUGGUGAUGCGGCGAGGCUCGGGCGAGGUCCGCGCUUCGGCAAGGAUGAUGGCGUAAUGGUUGUCGGCGGCCCGUCUUGAAACACGGACCAAGGAGUCUAACAUCUAUGCGAGUGUUCGGGUGUCAAACCCCUACGCGUAAUGAAAGUGAACGGAGGUGGGAACCGCAAGGUGCACCAUCGACCGAUCCUGAUGUCCUCGGAUGGAUUUGAGUAAGAGCAUAGCUGUUGGGACCCGAAAGAUGGUGAACUAUGCCUGAAUAGGGUGAAGCCAGAGGAAACUCUGGUGGAGGCUCGCAGCGGUUCUGACGUGCAAAUCGAUCGUCAAAUUUGGGUAUAGGGGCG
rnacentral:rRNA from 1 species